CUGCUGCCUUCCGUAGGAGUUUGGGCCGUGUCUCAGUCCCAAUGUGGCCGUCCGCCCUCUCAGGCCGGCUACUGAUCGUCGCCUUGGUGGGCCGUUACCCCGCCAACCAGCUAAUCAGACGCGGGUCCAUCCCGUACCACCGGAGUUUUCAAGAAAGGAACAUGCGUCCCCUUCUGUUAUGCGGUAUUAGCACCUGUUUCCAGGUGUUAUCCCCCGGUACGGGGCAGGUUCCCCACGCGUUACUCACCCGUCCGCCACUAAGGCCCGCGCCUUCCGGGUCUGGUAAA
rnacentral:rRNA from 1 species